AGAGUUUGAUCCUGGCUCAGAACGAACGCUGGCGGCAUGCCUAACACAUGCAAGUCGAACGUGAUCCAGGCUUCGGUCUGGUGAAAGUGGCAGACGGGUGAGUAACGCGUGGGAACCUGCCCUGUGGUAGGGAAUAACUGCGGGAAACUGCGGCUAAUACCCUAUGUGUCCUCGGGAGAAAGAUUUAUCGCCAUAGGAGG
rnacentral:rRNA from 1 species